GUCUAGGACUGCAAGGCCACCACAACUACAGUUUCAUGCCACACUGUCACUCAAGUAUUUAACACCAAAACAUAUAAGCAAAAAGGAACAGUGAUGCCUAAAGUAAAUAAAACCAAUACAAUAAUGUCAGAGCGAAGUUGAAAAAUUAGAGGGGAAACAGCAAACAGACUGAGGGAGAGAAGUGCAGUUGAAAAAAUGUCUCUACAGCAAAUGUCAGUACCCUAAGAGAAUUGCCUCAGCAAUGGUCAGUAAGAACUGGCACUGGCCCUCCCCAUGAUCACUGGGCAUGCAAACACUGUCUGACUAGACUGCAGCCUGGUGAGGAGUGUGGGUCAGAGGCUCUACCCCAUCAUUAAUUCUGGGCUGUUUUUACACUGCAGGGGACAUCUGUCCAGUACCCAUCUUAAACAUGGUUCAUAUCUUUGUAUUACUUCAGCAUGCCCCUGUAUUCUCUGAACAUCCCCACAGCCAAUCCCACCAGCCAACCUCCAAAGGGAGCAUGCUUCCCCAUACAGCACUUUAGAAAACAGGUCUGAGCGGGAGCCUGGGCCAAGGGGUGUUUUUAUAAUUUAGUCCCAUCAGUCGCCUCCCCCUUCCUUUUCUCUAGUUAAGUGCAAAAGCUCUCCAAUGUGCAUGUCAUCUGUCCUUGAACUAAUAGCUUUCUGUCACUACAUUGCAGGAAUUUCAACUUCUUACCCUUCCAUAAGGUUGGCUCCAAAACAUUUACCAAGUGGUAUUUAGAGCUGAAGCUACUACUAAGUUUGGACACUGUACACUUGGUCAACAAUUCCAUGCUGUGCUGAAAUAUUGUUUGGUUGCCACCACGGCUCAGUGAAGGAGUCCUAGUGCCCUGGCUGCCCAGCUGCUAUUUACUUUUAUCCAGAAGAAGAGGCAUACAAAGACUGGUCUGUCUCUGGAGAAAGCUCCCUGGACCAAACAAACAUCAAGCCAUGGCAAGAUGUUUUUUGUGACCAAGAACAAGCUGUCUGACAGCUGAGGAGCCUUAAGGAACAGGAUUAUUCUUCUCUCUCAUCUUCUCUCCUACCAAAGAUUAUUAUUUAUCACUGGCCCACUGCCUUGGAAAGAGCCAGGAUUUCUGUAAGGAUACUUCAAAUCUAUUAUUUCUUAGAAUACAUUUAAAUGCAAAAUCUACCUUCUUGGAUGGGAAAGAAACAAAAUAGCAAUUUAAUUUCAAAUUCUUAAAGCACGCAGGUCACCCAUGAAAAAAUACAUAUUACAGUUAUCAACUGUGCAGCUCCUCUUACACUUCCAGUGAUUUUAGCAAUGACUGAUGGCAACCAUAAGAUCUCAGUCUCAUCACUCCUAUUUUGUGCCCAAAUUACCUUUACAUUACUACACCUCAACUACUGUUCAAGAAGAGAUGCAAUUUAAGGCAUCUUAUUGCCAGAAUGAAUGAAAAUAUGCAGGCACUGAGGUAAGCUCAACUGCUUCCUUCAAAGGUAAGAUCUUUCUAGUCAACAAGGCACAACAAAACACGUAUAAGAAAUAGUAGUUUCCCUCUUCUGCAGAAUAGUGCCAUCUUA